CGACCUGUGGUGUAAUGGUUAGCAUGUUCGCUUCCCAAGCGAGUGGACCUGGGUUCGAUUCCCAGGCAGGGUGA